rnacentral:rRNA from 1 species
GACGAACCGUGCGAACGUUGUCCGGAAUCACUGGGCGUAAAGCGCACGUAGGCGGAUUGCUAAGUCAGGGGUGAAAUCCUGGAGCUCAACUCCAGAACUGCCUUUGAUACUGGCGAUCUCGAGUCCGGGAGAGGUGAGUGGAACUGCGAGUGUAGAGGUGAAAUUCGUAGAUAUUCGCAAGAACACCAGUGGCGAAGGCGGCUCACUGGCCCGGUACUGACGCUGAGGUGCGAAAGCGUGGGGAGCAAACAGGG